rnacentral:rRNA from 1 species
UAGGGAAUCUUCGGCAAUGGACGAAAGUCUGACCGAGCAACGCCGCGUGAGUGAAGAAGGUUUUCGGAUCGUAAAACUCUGUUGUUAGAGAAGAACAAGGAUGAGAGUAGAAUGUUCAUCCCUUGACGGUAUCUAACCAGAAAGCCACGGCUAACUACGUGCCAGCAGCCGCGGUAAUACGUAGGUGGCAAGCGUUGUCCGGAUUUAUUGGGCGUAAAGCGAGCGCAGGCGGUUUCUUAAGUCUGAUGUGAAAGCCCCCGGCUCAACCGGGGAGGGUCAUUGGAACCUGGGAAACUUGAGUGCAGAAGAGGAGAGUGGAAUUCCAUGUGUAGCGGUGAAAUGCGUAGAUAUAUGGAGAAACACCAGUGGCGAAGGCGGCUCUCUGGUCUGUAACUGACGCUGAGGCUCGAAAGCGUGGGGAGCAAACAGG